GACGAACGCUGGCGGCGUGCUUAACACAUGCAAGUCGAACGGAAAGGCCCUGCUUUUGUGGGGUGCUCGAGUGGCGAACGGGUGAGUAACACGUGAGUAACCUGCCCUUUACUUUGGGAUAACUUCAGGAAACUGGGGCUAAUACCGGAUAGGAGCUCCUGCUGCAUGGUGGGGGUUGGAAAGUUUCGGCGGUUGGGGAUGGACUUGCGGCUUAUCAGCUUGUUGGUGGGGUAGUGGCUUACCAAGGCUUUGACGGGUAGCCGGCCUGAGAGGGUGACCGGCCACAUUGGGACUGAGAUACGGCCCAGACUCCUACGGGAGGCAGCAGUGGGGAAUAUUGCACAAUGGGCGGAAGCCUGAUGCAGCAACGCCGCGUGCGGGAUGACGGCCUUCGGGUUGUAAACCGCUUUCGCCUGUGACGAAGCGUGAGUGACGGUAAUGGGUAAAGAAGCACCGGCUAACUACGUG
rnacentral:rRNA from 1 species